CCAGAAGAGUGGUUUUGUCUCAGAGCUAACUGCUCCCCACAACCUAGGAUGUAUAUUUGCCACGCUUGUGGAAAUAUCUGGAAAUCUAAGUCCAGCACCUAACACAGAGCCUGGCACAUAGCAGAUGCUCACUCAAUAAACUUGUUGAAUAUUUUAGCAGCCAAGCCCAACAAGCAAGACCAUCUUAACAGAGCUUCAAGUGGCAUAAUCCAGUGAAAUACAGGUUCUGAGUACAGUUCUCCUAUUGUACUAACUCAGGAGUUUGAGACCAGCCUGGGCCACAUGGCAAAACUCUGUCUCUACAAAAAAUUUAAAAAUUAGCCAGGUGGGGUGGCACAUGCUUGUGGUCCCAACUACUUGGGAGGCUGAGAUGGGAGGAUUCCUUGAACCCAGAAGGUCGAGGCUGAAGUGGCACUUCAGGGUCUGCUCUUCAGCUUCAUUUCUUUCCAUUU
rnacentral:lncRNA from 1 species